GAUGAACGCUGGCGGCGUGCCUAACACAUGCAAGUCGAGCGAACGGACGAGAAGCUUGCGUCUUUGAUGUUAGCGGCGGGCGGGUGAGUAACACGUGGAUAACCUACCUAUAUUUCGGGGAUAAUUACGGGACACCGGCGCUUAUACCGGAUCAUAUUUUGAACCGCAGGGUUCAAAGGUGAAAGACGGCCUUGGUGUCUCUUAUAGAUGGAUCCGCGCUGGAUUAGCUAGUUGGUAAGGUCACGGCCUACCAAGGCUACGAUGCGUAGCCGACCUGAGAGGCUGAUCGGCCACACUGGAACUGAGACACGGUCCAGACUCCUACGGGAGGCAGCAGUAGGGAAUCUUCGGCAAUGGGCGAAAGCCUGACGGAGCAACGCCGCGUGAGUGAUGAAGGUCUUCGGAUCGUAAAGCCCUGUUAUUGGGGAAGAACAUCUGUGGAAUUAACUGUGGACAUCUUGACGGUACCUAAUCAAAAAGCACCGGCUAACUACGUG
rnacentral:rRNA from 1 species